GGAUAACUACCCUUUAGGACCGGGAUAACCCUGGGAAACUGGGGAUAAUACUGGAUAGGCAAUUUUUCCUGUAAUGGUUUUUUGUUUAAAUGUUUUUUUCGCCUAAGGAUGGGUCUGCGGCCGAUUAGGUAGUUGGUUAGGUAAUGGCUUACCAAGCCGUUGAUCGGUACGGGUUGUGAGAGCAAGAGCCCGGAGAUGGAACCUGAGACAAGGUUCCAGGCCCUACGGGGUGCAGCAGGCGCGAAACCUCCGCAAUGUGAGAAAUCGCGACGGGGGGAUCCCAAGUGCCAUUCUUAACGGGAUGGCUUUUCAUUAGUGUAAAGAGCUUUUGGAAUAAGAGCUGGGCAAGACCGGUGCCAGCCGCCGCGGUAACACCGGCAGCUCUAGUGGUAGCAAUUUUUAUUGGGCCUAAAGCGUCCGUAGCCGGUUUAAUAAGUCUCUGGUGAAAUCCUGCAGCUUAACUGUGGGAAUUGCUGGAGAUACUAUUAGACUUGAGACCGGGAGAGGUUAGAGGUACUCCCAGGGUAGAGGUGAAAUUCUGUAAUCCUGGGAGGACCGCCUGUUGCGAAGGCGUCUAACUGGAACGGUUCUGACGGUGAGGGACGAAAGUUAGGGGCGCGAACCGGAUUAGAUACCCGGGUAGUCCUAACUGUAAACGAUGCGGACUUGGUGUUGGGGUGGCUUUGAGCUGCUUCAGUGCCGAAGGGAAGCUGUUAAGUCCGCCGCCUGGGAAGUACGGUCGCAAGACUGAAACUUAA
rnacentral:rRNA from 1 species